rnacentral:rRNA from 1 species
GAUGAACGCUGGCGGCGUGCCUAAUACAUGCAAGUCGAGCGAACGGACGAGAAGCUUUCUUCUCUGAUGUUAGCGGCUGACGGGUGAGUAACACGUGGAUAACCUACCUAUAAGACUGGGAUAACUUCGGGAAACCGGAGCUAAUACCGGAUAAUAUUUUGAACCGCAUGGUUCAAAAGUGAAAUACGGUCUUGCUGUCACUUAUAGAUGGAUCCUCGCUGCAUUAGCUAGUUGGUAAGGUAACGGCUUACCAAGGCAACGAUGCAUAGCCGACCUGAGAGGGAGAUCGGAGACACUGGAACUGAGACACGGAAAAGAGAACUACGGGAGGAAGCAGUAGGGAAUGUUCCGCAAUGGGCGAAAGAAUGACGGAGAAAAGGAGAGUGAGUGAUGAAGGAAUAAGGAUCGUAAAAAUCUGUUAUGAGGGAAGAAAAAAAGUGUAAGAAAAUGAGAAGAGAGUGACGGUAACAAAAAAGAAAGCAACGGCUAACUACGUG